UACGUAGGGGGCUAGCGUUGUCCGGAAUCAUUGGGCGUAAAGCGCGUGUAGGCGGUUCGGUAAGUCCGCUGUGAAAGUCGGGGGGCUCAACCCUCGGAUGCCGGUGGAUACUGUCGAGCUUGAGUACGGAAGAGGCGAGUGGAAUUCCUGGUGUAGCGGUGAAAUGCGCAGAUAUCAGGAGGAACACCAAUUGCGAAGGCAGCUCGCUGGGACGUUACUGACGCUGAGACGCGAAAGCGUGGGGGAGCAAACAGG
rnacentral:rRNA from 1 species